AGAAAUAUUUCACUGUAGUUUACCACAGAAUUAUAUAUUGUUGUAUACAACGUUUUUCUUUAGUCUUUAAAAGAUAAUAAAUGUUGAUGAUGAAUCUGAUGGAAGCAAUUCUUUGAUGUCACAGUUGUCUGAUAUUUUGCAUUUACUCGAUAAAUUA